AGAACGAACGCUGGCGGCAUGCCUAACACAUGCAAGUCGAACGCUCACCGGGCUUCGGUUCGGUGGGAGUGGCGCACGGGUGAGUAGCGCGUGGGAACCUGCCCUGUUGUGGGGGAUAACCGAGGGAAACUUCGGCUAAUACCGCAUGCGCCCGGGGAAACCCGGGGAAAGAUUUAUCGCAGCAGGAGGGGCCCGCGUCGGAUUAGGUAGUUGGUAGGGUAACGGCCUACCAAGCCUUUGAUCCGUAGCUGGUCUGAGAGGACGACCAGCCACACUGGAACUGAGACACGGUCCAGACACCUACGGGUGGCAGCAGUCGAGAAUUUUUCACAAUGGGGAAACCCUGAUGGAGCGACGCCGCGUGGGGGAUGAAUGGCUUCGGCCCGUAAACCCCUGUCAUUUGCGAACAAUUGGUUCACUUAAUACCUGAACCAUUGAUAGUAGCGGAAGAGGAAGGGACGGCUAACUCUGUGCCAGCAGCCGC
rnacentral:rRNA from 1 species